rnacentral:rRNA from 1 species
UACGGAAGGCAGCAGUGGGGAAUAUUGCACAAUGGGCGAAAGCCUGAUGCAGCUAUGCCGCGUGUAUGAAGAAGGCCUUAGGGUUGUAAAGUACUUUCAUCGGGGAGGAAAACAAAACUAAUAAUUUUAUUUCUUGACGUUACCCGAAAAAGAAGCACCGGCUAACUCCGUGCCAGCAGCCGCGGUAAUACGGAGGGUGCUAGCGUUAAUCAGAAUUACUGGGCGUAAAAGAGCACGUAGGUGGUUUUUUUAAGUCAGAUGUGAAAUCCCUGGGCUUAACCUAGGAACUGCAUUUUGAAACUGAAAUACUAGAGUAUCGUAGAGGGAGGUAGAAUUCUAGGUGUAGCGGUGAAAUGCGUAGAUAUCUGGAGGAAUACCUGUGGCGAAAGCGGCCUCCUAAACGAAUACUGACACUGAGGUGCGAAAAGCGUGGGGAGCAAAACAGGGAUUAGAUACC